rnacentral:rRNA from 1 species
GCUACAGGCUUAACACAUGCAAGUCGAGGGGCAGCAUGGUCUUAGCUUGCUAAGGCCGAUGGCGACCGGCGCACGGGUGAGUAACACGUAUCCAACCUGCCGUCUACUCUUGGACAGCCUUCUGAAAGGAAGAUUAAUACAAGAUGGCAUCAUGAGUCCGCAUGUUCACAUGAUUAAAGGUAUUCCGGUAGACGAUGGGGAUGCGUUCCAUUAGAUAGUAGGCGGGGUAACGGCCCACCUAGUCUUCGAUGGAUAGGGGUUCUGAGAGGAAGGUCCCCCACAUUGGAACUGAGACACGGUCCAAACUCCUACGGGAGGCAGCAGUGAGGAAUAUUGGUCAAUGGGCGAGAGCCUGAACCAGCCAAGUAGCGUGAAGGAUGACUGCCCUAUGGGUUGUAAACUUCUUUUAUAAAGGAAUAAAGUCGGGUAUGGAUACCCGUUUGCAUGUACUUUAUGAAUAAGGAUCGGCUAACUCCGUGCCAGCAGCCGCGGUAAUACGGAGGAUCCGAGCGUUAUCCGGAUUUAUUGGGUUUAAAGGGAGCGUAGAUGGAUGUUUAAGUCAGUUGUGAAAGUUUGCGGCUCAACCGUAAAAUUGCAGUUGAUACUGGAUAUCUUGAGUGCAGUUGAGGCAGGCGGAAUUCGUGGUGUAGCGGUGAAAUGCUUAGAUAUCACGAAGAACUCCGAUUGCGAAGGCAGCCUGCUAAGCUGCAACUGACAUUGAGGCUCGAAAGUGUGGGUAUCAAACAGGAUUAGAUACCCUGGUAGUCCACACGGUAAACGAUGAAUACUCGCUGUUUGCGAUAUACUGCAAGCGGCCAAGCGAAAGCGUUAAGUAUUCCACCUGGGGAGUACGCCGGCAACGGUGAAACUCAAAGGAAUUGACGGGGGCCCGCACAAGCGGAGGAACAUGUGGUUUAAUUCGAUGAUACGCGAGGAACCUUACCCGGGCUUAAAUUGCAGAUGAAUUACGGUGAAAGCCGUAAGCCGCAAGGCAUCUGUGAAGGUGCUGCAUGGUUGUCGUCAGCUCGUGCCGUGAGGUGUCGGCUUAAGUGCCAUAACGAGCGCAACCCUUGUUGUCAGUUACUAACAGGUUCCGCUGAGGACUCUGACAAGACUGCCAUCGUAAGAUGUGAGGAAGGUGGGGAUGACGUCAAAUCAGCACGGCCCUUACGUCCGGGGCUACACACGUGUUACAAUGGGGGGUACAGAGGGUCGCUACCACGCGAGUGGAUGCCAAUCCCCAAAACCUCUCUCAGUUCGGACUGGAGUCUGCAACCCGACUCCACGAAGCUGGAUUCGCUAGUAAUCGCGCAUCAGCCACGGCGCGGUGAAUACGUUCCCGGGCCUUGUACACACCGCCCGUCAAGCCAUGGGAGCCGGGGGUACCUGAAGUGCGUAACCGCGAGGAGCGCCCUAGGGUAAAACUGGUGACUGGGGCUAAGUAG